rnacentral:tRNA from 3 species
GCGGAUGUGGCGGAAUUGGCAGACGCGCUAGACUUAGGAUCUAGUGUCUUCGACGUGCAGGUUCAAGUCCUGUCAUCCGCA